GAACAAUUGGAAAGUAUGAUCAGCUUUAGAAAAUUAAAAUGGAAAAUUAUCAGAACGGAAGAAUGAACCAUUUUCAUCCAUGACUUCACAUGGACUGUUUGAGUAUAGAGCCAGGUGAAACUGAAUUGUGAAUGAAAGUAUCUAGAAAUCCCAGAUGAGACUUUUAAAUCCAAGUAAGUUUGAAGCCACUUGAACUUUUCUAAGAUUCACUCCAGCAGCUUAUUUGCACUGAACACAGAAGUCUGAGGCAAGAAUGAGAAGAGACUAAAACGCACCAUAGGUCUAAGCCAGAAACUUUGAACUCAGAUAGAGGGCUGUCAGUUUGGCACAGCUGGGAGAAAGUGGAGUGCAGUAGUUCUAAAUCUUUGGGACUUUGGUGAAGGAUUAUUAUGAAAC
rnacentral:lncRNA from 1 species